AGCACAGACAGAACCAUUCCGGGGCCUCCUGCUCAGGUUCUGGAACAAUGAAAGAUUAUUUAAAAUUUAUAAGCCAAACAAUUUGGGCAAUAUUAGUAAGUGAGCAUGGCAGAAAAGGGCUCAUAAGCCAAGGCAACUGUUCCCGGAAACUAAUAAGAAAGCCAAGGCAGGAAUGGAACCGCGGGCGUGGGAGGCAACUAGAAAAUCCACCAACGAGGAAAUGUGAAGGACG
rnacentral:lncRNA from 1 species